GCGGGGCUACGACAAAGUCUAGAUUCGGUCCUGAAUGUAGUUGACGUCAGCGACGCAUGCGCAACAGAACGGACGGCACUGCAGAAGCAGCCGAGUUCGCGAGUGUAUCGAUUUUAUGAUCGUGUCUCUCGCCGAUAGUGUGUCCGUUUCCUUUAGUUUUUAGUUGCUCAUGGUAUGUGGAUAAAAUCGUGAAUGGGAUUAGUCGCUAGUCUCAUCGUUCCGUACACCCGCUGACUCGCAACACUUUGUUACCCUCACCAUGACCAAGGAUAGAUUAGCAGCUCUCGUUGCGGCCCAGUCGGACGACGAUGACGUGGCGGACGAUGUGUCCGUCAACGUCGGCGGGCCCGAUGAUUUCAUGACCGAAUUCUUCGCGGAGGUGGAGGAGAUCCGCGAAAUGAUAGACAGGAUCCAGACGAACGUAGAGGAUGUGAAGAAAAAACAUAGUGCCAUCUUGUCGGCACCACAGACCGACGAAAAGGUUAAAAUGGAAUUGGAAGACCUGAUGUCCGACAUCAAAAAAACGGCGAAUAAAGUCAGAGCUAAACUGAAGGUGAUAGAACAAAAUAUCGAGCAAGAGGAACACACGAACAAAUCCUCGGCGGACUUGAGGAUACGCAAGACACAGCACUCCACGCUUUCGAGGAAGUUUGUCGAGGUGAUGACGGAGUACAAUCGGACGCAAACCGAUUACAGAGAACGGUGUAAGGGAAGGAUACAACGACAGCUGGAAAUCACCGGUAGGACGACCACCAACGAGGAACUGGAAGAAAUGCUGGAACAGGGGAAUCCGGCGGUGUUCACGCAGGGGAUUAUCAUGGAAACGCAACAAGCGAAACAGACGCUCGCCGAUAUCGAGGCGCGUCACGCCGACAUCAUCAAACUAGAAAAUUCCAUCAGGGAACUCCACGACAUGUUCAUGGACAUGGCGAUGCUGGUGGAAAGUCAGGGCGAGAUGAUAGAUCGCAUAGAGUACCACGUGGAACACGCGGUGGACUACGUGCAGACGGCUACGCAGGACACCAAAAAAGCGCUCAAGUAUCAAAGCAAAGCUCGACGGAAAUUGAUGUUCAUCGUCAUUUGCCUGACAGUAGCGUUCAUCAUUCUCGUAAUCAUUCUGGUAUACACGUUGUAAGAAGACGGUCCGCGAGGCUCGACUUUCAGCGAGGCGGGACACGAGAGAGACAAUGUUGAAGGAAAAGGCCGAAAUAAAAAAAGAAAAACAACAGCGACCAACCACCAAGCUCUCUCGCGCGACGUUUUCCUUUCGGAACGUGGUGGACACUUCGCCGUGUACUCGUUUCUUUUUUUUUUUUUUUUUUUUUUUGCUCCAGGGGAUCGGGGAAAAUGUUGUUGGCUGUCGGUUCCGCGCGUCUUCUUCCCGUUGUGUCGUUGCAAUUCCACAGGAAUCCACAGGCCGGUUGGAUCGGGCGAGGAGAGUUCUCCUAGGAAAAGAAAAAAAAAAAGAGAGAGAAACCACGGUGGAAAAAAAAAGGGGGAGCCUCAGGUCUCUAGGAUCCGACGAGAGAAAUUCAGGAUCCAGGAUUCAGGAUCAGGAGCCACACACGAAGGCACGAGUGACGCGGGCGCACACGCUGAGAGAGAGAGAGAGAGAGAGAGAGAGAGAAUGAGUGAGAGAGAGAUGGUAUGCGAAUGUGUGUGUGCACGCGAUAGAGAGAGAGAGAGAGAGUGAGAGAGGGGAGUGAUGCCCACGCACCGCCCCCACGGGAGGAGAUCCUCCAAGUAUACAAUAUGCAUUAUUUAUACAUUAUACUGUUAGUUACCGUAGUCGGGACGUUGCGUGCCGCGUUGUAUAAUCUGUCAUUGUGUUUUUGCCGAGCGCAGAAGAAGAUCAUGAUCAUGAUCUGCCUUGCUAUACUCGCCGUCGUUCUCACCACCACCAUCGGUGGAUACUUUGGGCUGUGAACGCCGCGCUCAGACAAGCCGAAGCCAGUUGUCGUCGUCGUCGUCGUCGUCUUUGUGGUGAUGUUCGUCACCGAUCGCGAGAAACGCCCAGACAACAACAAAUUGGCCCUAGACAACAACAACAAUAAAAACAACAACAACAAUAACAACAUUGGAACCAAGCUGAACCAAGUGAAAGCCUCCUCCGAUAAUGAUGAUGAAGAUGAUGAUGAUGAUGAUGAUGAUGAUGAUGAUGAUGAUGCUGCUGCUGCUGCUGCUCGUCAACGGCAGCCACGGCGUGUUGUCGACAGGCCCAUUGUCCGCUCCUCGUCCUACGGAUCGUCUUCGCUGGAUUUCACGCCUUCUGUUACGCUUACGCGUUCACGUGCACGCGUUCACACCUGUCGGCCGUCGCGAGGAAGGAGGAAAGCAGAGCGAGAAGCGAGAAGAGGAGAAGAGGAGAAGAGAAAAGGGAGGAUCGAGGAUCGAAUAAAUGAAUACAUGUACACGUAGACGAAGAAGAAUUGCCUCGUUGUGCAGUUUCUUCUUCGUCGUCGUCGUCGUCGUCGUCGCCGUGUCGUCCCCUCUUUUAAUUUCUCGUCUCUCAGCUCGUAUUUCCCAGUCUCUCCGCUUGGUGACUCGGCAAGCAAAUAGGAAAAACGCCGUAGCAAAAGUAAGGGAAGUAAGCGAGCAGGCCGACGGGAAAGUACCAAGAGAAGAGGACACGGUCGCAGACGCGUGAGAACAACAGGUGGAAGAAACGGAGCGCGUGCACGGCGUGAAAGAAGAUGUGUGUGCCUGUGUCCUUGGUCGAGCUGUGUCUCUCUCGAGCGAUGAUCGUUGUACCGCGUUACAUGAAGUGUGAAAAGCGAGUGACGAAGAAAGGGAAGACGUCGCUGGCACGAAAGAGAAGAAAUUGGGGGCUGUGAGCACAGUAAAUCGUCGUGAAUCUCUGACCUACGUGCGAGUUGUAUGCAUGCAUGUGUUGCGUAUGUAUCUGGUUCCGAGCCAAGCCUAACCUGACCGCCUAAUGGAGUUUUUCUGUAACGCGAGGCGUCGCGCGAGGCUACCCCGAGGCCACAACCCUCUCGUUUAUCGCGCCGGGCUCUGGUAGCCGGUGUCCAAUUAUAAACCGACUACCUACCGAAGUGCAUUCAUUUUGACUGUGAUUUUUCAACCGAGCUUGGAAAUUAGUUCUUUACGAGUUCUCCCGCGUUCUCUGUAAAAAAAGAAAAAAAAAAACGCGCCCCACAUCGCUCAUUCCCUCCCCCACAUAUCAUGUCACUUGCGUACGAUAUCGAGGCGUUACAUGUGUUACACGUAGAUGUCUGUGCGCCAUUCCUCUCCAUCGAAUCCGUGGAGAAAUUUCAAUUGAAUUGAAUUCGAGUAUCGUGUAAUACAUGCCGAGCCCCCGAGGAGCUGGCAACAGCCGGGGGGAGAGAUAGAGAAAGAGUUACCUAGCUUGCUAGAGAGAAAUGUCCCGCUUCGAAAUCGAAGAAACGAGUAGAAAUACCCAGAGAGUAGAGCUGUGUCCAGAGCUGUGGACGCGCGAAGAGCGCGAAAGGGCAAAUUUCCAAGUGCGUCGCAACGUUGGGCUAGCUAUCGUUCGACGGAGUACAUACCGUAGUUUACACCUAAGUAGUUUGUUUCUCGCUUUCGACGUGGCUUCGUCGAUUCAUCGGUUGGUCACAACAAUCGUGAACGGCCGCGGCCGAGUCGAAUACAUAGUGGAACGAUGAUAAUACGUCGUUGACGUCGUGUUGCACGAAACGCCAUUAGGACGAGUGGGUUCGAUCGACGACCGAUCGGCGAAUUAAUCGCUUUGCUUCCCUUUCGUACAUCGUGAGCCCUCCUUUCGACAGCCCUCUAGCCGAGUUUCCGUGACCUUUCCCUUUUUUUUAUUGGUUGUCACACGAACACACACACACACACACACGAGCCUGGUGUCUUUUUUUUCUUUCUUCUUUCAGUUCAGCUCGUGGAUGCUGAGCGCUCGGAAAUGAGCGAGUAAAACCGAUUCAAUAAAGACAAGAAACACUGUUGACCGAUUUGAUUUUGGUUCUUGCUCGAGGGGAACGAAAGCUCGGUAUAUUGGACCGUCGAAAGUGGUCCAUUUUUUCUUUGUUCGCUUGUAUCGCUGUGUUGAAGCGGUCGGUCGUACGCGGCGCGGGAGAAGAACAGAGGACGACGAGUUUUUUUGCAACAACAGUGAUGGAAUUGCGAGUAGAGUCGAGGCAACACGCAGGCAAGACGGACACGCGGAAGAGACGAGGGACACGAACACGCGUUAGAGCAGGGAAGAGGAGAUCUAUAAAACUGCAGCAAUAAUAAGAUAUAGGUGUUUUACGGGAGACUAAUUAACGCUAAUAACAAUCGUCGACGAUAAAAAUCUGGAUAUCAUACCGAUGUGUAUCGUAUCUACACAAAGUGUAUACAUAUAUAUUUAUUGCUAUAUGUGUAUAUAUAUGUAUAUAUACACACACACACGUAUACACACAUAAAAAAAAGAAAAAGAAACACUCGUACAUAUAUAUAUAUACACACAAACACGUACAGAGAAACAUACUCGGUGAAUAUGAGCGCAAACUCGCGAGACACGCAGGUGGCGUACGACACGUACUAUAUUUACACACAUACACACACACAAACAUAGCAUACACACACACAUAGCGCGACGUGUAACGCGCAAAACGCGUUCACGGUACAUACAAAAUGGAAAAAAAAAAAAAUAAAAACAUAUUACAUGUAUAUAUAAAAUAGAUAGUCGGCACAGUCGAAAAGAGUAAUAUAUUAACGAUGAUAAUUUAUUAUUCACGACGCUGUUGCUCGUGUACACUAUCGUCUGAUUAUUGCUUUUCGAGCAAACAAAAAAUGGAAAAAAAAAAAAGAAAAAAAAACGGGCGACGUUCGUGUUAAUGUUUUGUUGAUUAUAUUAUAUGAACGUUGAGGUACACGCGUUUCAAAGAUUAUGGGUUAAUGUUUCAGAAUAAUAUGUAUAAGAAAGGAAGAAAACGAAAAAAAAAGAAAAAAAAAAGAAGAAGAUGAAGAAGACAAACGGUUAAGCUACACACAGGCCACGUUUUGCUGCAACAGCAAUACAGUUGAGACAAAGAGUACGGUUAAAAUGCGAUUGAGGACGGCGAUACGACGCUG